rnacentral:lncRNA from 1 species
GCAUGCGCGGUGACGUCAUGUCAUAACGUUUAGUGGAUUACCUCUCUCUCUCACACACACACACACACACACACACAGGGACUCUCACAAAUGGCGUCAUAAACACCGGUUUGCUUCCUACCACUCCACCGAUACCCAAUGACAGCUACUCGCGUGCAUCCGUGGCGCGUGGCUUCGACCUAGAGAAGCUGAGAGUCUGAGUGAGAGCUGUCAGCUGGUCUCUCCUCCCUCAGGGCUCCAUGUACCCUGAACCCAACACGGAUUCCCCUGCUCGUCUCUCCACACGGCAGACUGGAUCCCCCUAUACGUGAGCAGAACCUUCACACUCAAAGAGA